CCCUCUGAGUUUAAGCAUAUCAAUAAGUAGAGGAAAAAAAACUUACAAGGAUGCUUAUAGUAACGGCGAGCGAACUGGGAACAGCCCAGCCUUAGAAUCGGGUGGCUCUGUCAUCCAAAGUGUAGUUUGGAGAAGCAUCCUCAGCGGUGGACCGGGCCUAAUUCCCCUGGAAGGAGGUUCCAGAGAGGGUGACAGACCCAUUAUGCUCGGACCAUGUCGCACCAUGAGGCACUGUCUACGAGUCAGAAUGUUUGGAAAUACAGCCCAAAUCGAGCGUUGAAUUCUAUCCAAGGCUAAAUACGGGCGAGAAACUGAUAGCUAACAAGUACCGCAAAGGAAAGAUGAUAAGGACUUUGAAAAGAGAGUCAAAGAGUACUUGAAAUUAUUGGGAGAAAAGUAUAUGGAGGUCGGCGAUGCAUCCCGGUAGGAUAUGGAAUGACAACGAGCUGGUCUGCCGAUCGACUUGGGUCAUGGUCUAGCGUAGAUUGGGGGCAGCCAAAGCCCAAGCUCUCAAUACGCUUAUGGAAAGUCGUCUUCUAAAUUGUGGUAGGCAUUGUGUGCCUCUAACGUGCUUCGGCAUCUAUGCACUCUGGAUGCUAGCCUGCGGGCUCCCCAUUCGACCCAUCUUUAAACAUGG
rnacentral:ncRNA from 1 species